rnacentral:lncRNA from 1 species
GAGGUUGAAAUGCAGUUUGCUGAAGAACUAUAUAGCUCUCAUAAAUGAUGCAAAUAUUAAUAUAUAAAUCUUUUCUUACAUACCUGAAUCCCAGUUUUGGUCAGUGUAUCCUCCAAAAAUACAAUCAUUGGCUUUCACCAAAACCACUGUCGGUCCUUUAUUGUCACAAUGUUUGUGAAAAUCUUGGGCACUCCAACCAUCUCUGGAAGCUCUGUAACAAAGAUUCCAUUUACACUUCUCUCCCAACCAUUUCUUUAGUUGUUUCAUGAAGGCAAUCUCUCCUUUCAAAAUACUGGAUGACUUUUUUAUAAGAUUGUACAUUGCAGAAACACCACCUACAGUAAACAAUGAAUUUUAUGUAAG